rnacentral:rRNA from 1 species
UACGGAAGGUCCGGGCGUUAUCCGGAUUUAUUGGGUUUAAAGGGAGCGCAGGCUGCCUGUUAAGCGUGACGUGAAAUGCCGCGGCUCAACCGUGGAAGUGCGUCGCGAACUGGCGGGCUUGAGUGUGCACGAGGAAGGCGGAAUUCGUGGUGUAGCGGUGAAAUGCUUAGAUAUCACGAAGAACUCCGAUUGCGAAGGCAGCCUUCCAGGGCAUUACUGACGCUAAGGCUCGAAGGUGCGGGUAUCGAAC